AUUUAACGGUGGCUUUUCAAGCCACAGAUCUUGGUGAGAGGCCGAGCGGGAAUU
rnacentral:tRNA from 1 species